rfam:Cucumis sativus cultivar 9930 chromosome 2, whole genome shotgun sequence.
UCAGGCCAAUGAUGAUUGAUACUUUGCUUUGCCUACACUGUCUGAUAAUUUUAUGAUUGAGAACACUCUGUCUGAAGCCUGA